rnacentral:rRNA from 1 species
CCUACGGGUGGCAGCAGUGGGGAAUAUUGCACAAUGGGGGAAACCCUGAUGCAGCGACGCCGCGUGAGUGAAGAAGGAAUUCGGUAUGUAAAGCUCUAUCAGCAGGGAAGAAAAUGACGGUACCUGAGUAAGAAGCCCCGGCUAACUACGUGCCAGCAGCCGCGGUAAUACGUAGGGGGCAAGCGUUAUCCGGAUUUACUGGGUGUAAAGGGAGCGUAGACGGAUGUGCAAGUCUGGAGUGAAAGGCGGGGGCUCAACCCUCGGACUGCUCUGGAAACUGUACGGCUGGAGUGCAGGAGAGGUAAGUGGAAUUCCUAGUGUAGCGGUGAAAUGCGUAGAUAUUAGGAGGAACACCAGUGGCGAAGGCGGCUUACUGGACUGUAACUGACGUUGAGGCUCGAAAGCGUGGGGAGCAAACAGGAUUAGAUACCCGUGUAGUC